rnacentral:rRNA from 1 species
AUUAGCGGCCAUAGCGAAGGGGAAACACCUGGACUCAUCCCGAACCCAGAAGUUAAGACCUUCAGCGAUUAGGUUUGCACUGCUUUUUUAAGUGGAGCGCCCUUGACGCUGCUAAUC